rnacentral:rRNA from 1 species
UACGAAGGGGGCUAGCGUUGAUCGGAAUCACUGGGCGUAAAGGGUGCGUAGGCGGGUCUUUAAGUCAGGGGUGAAAUCCUGGAGCUCAACUCCAGAACUGCCUUUGAUACUGAAGAUCUUGAGUUCGGGAGAGGUGAGUGGAACUGCGAGUGUAGAGGUGAAAUUCGUAGAUAUUCGCAAGAACACCAGUGGCGAAGGCGGCUCACUGGCCCGAUACUGACGCUGAGGCACGAAAGCGUGGGGAGCAAACAGG